rnacentral:rRNA from 1 species
UUUCACGGAGAGUUUGAUUCUGGCUCAGAACGAACGCUGGCGGCGUGGAUAAGACAUGCAAGUCGAACGGGACUUAUUUUGUAGCAAUACAAGGUAAGUUCAGUGGCGUAAGGGUGCGUAACACGUGGGGAAUCUGCCGAGAAGUGGGGGAUAGCUCGCCGAAAGGCGAAUUAAUACCGCAUGUGACCAGG